rnacentral:rRNA from 1 species
AGCGAACGCUGGCGGCAGGCCUAACACAUGCAAGUCGAACGAACUCUUCGGAGUUAGUGGCGGACGGGUGAGUAACACGUGGGAACGUGCCUUUAGGUUCGGAAUAACUCAGGGAAACUUGUGCUAAUACCGAAUGUGCCCUUCGGGGGAAAGAUUUAUCGCCUUUAGAGCGGCCCGCGUCUGAUUAGCUAGUUGGUGAGGUAAAGGCUCACCAAGGCGACGAUCAGUAGCUGGUCUGAGGGGAUGAUCAGCCACAUUGGGACUGAGACACGGCCCAAACUCCUACGGGAGGCAGCAGUGGGGAAUCUUGCGCAAUGGGCGAAAGCCUGACGCAGCCAUGCCGCGUGAAUGAUGAAGGUCUUAGGAUUGUAAAAUUCUUUCACCGGGGACGAUAAUGACGGUACCCGGAGAAGAAGCCCCGGCUAACUUCGUG